UACGUAGGGUGCAAGCGUUAAUCGGAAUUACUGGGCGUAAAGCGUGCGCAGGCGGUUGUGCAAGUCCGAUGUGAAAUCCCCAGGCUUAACCUGGGAACUGCAUUCGAGACUGCAUUGCUAGAGUAUGGGAGAGGGAAGUGGAAUUUCCGGUGUAGCGGUGAAAUGCGUAGAUAUCGGAAGGAACAUCAGUGGCGAAAGCGACUUCCUGGACCAAUACUGACGCUCAUGUGCGAAAGCGUGGGGAGCAAACAGG
rnacentral:rRNA from 1 species